AUGUCUUCUGUGCCUUGCCCUGUCUGUUUUUCGUGAUCUGCAAUUGUUGGCGCCUGCAGUUGCUGAUUGGACCAGAGGGAGCAGGACUAGGGAAGGGCAAGGAGGAGGAAGGGAAGAGAAGAGAAAGGGGAAAUUAGGGUCUCCAAAAUUCUUCAAAUUACUUGACAAGUUCUUGAUCGUCUCAAUUAAGGUAAAACCCUAGCAGUCCCCAGGUGCUCAUAGAGUGGGUUAGGAUGAGUUAAUUCGAGAUUUAAUCUGUUAUCGGUAGUUUGACUUCAUGCAGUGGCCGUAAUCUUAAAUAUGGUAAUUAUUGGUCCAGAAUUUCAAUGUUCUGUAGAUGCAAAAGUUGUAGGUUUCGUCGAUAUCUUUCCCAUGGCGCUAAUUUCGUUCAAUUUGGAUUAGCGGUUUAGGAGAUAUCAAUGGAACUGUGCAGCUGUUCCAUUUAGAAAAACUGUGCGCAGAAACUGUUUUCAUAGUUUCGAUAUAUUUAGAGGCUGAAUUGCCCCUGGGCGCUGAAAGUUGAAGGAAAUGUUCUGUAGAUGUUCAAGUUGUGUUUAUUUACCACAUUUAAUUAAGCCAAUCAAAAGUUAUGGGCCAAACAGCGAGUAACUUAGAGAACUUGUCGAAUUUUCAGAAAUUGUGAGGGUUAACGGUUUAGGCUGUUAGCUCGGUAUUUCUUCGAGUAUUUAGGGUUUUGGUCUAUAUGAUCUAGUUCCUGAGAGUGGUUUAUUCCACAGGUUCGAUAAAUUCUAGUGGCGAGCAUGUGAUGUCGGAUUCUCGACAAGGUUAAGGCAAGUGCAAUGACGAAUCUCUUGAUGUGUGAAUAUGUUUGUGGUUUCGUUGCUGCCCUUGGGCGACAUUUACUCAAUGUCUUUAUUUUAUAUGUCAAUCUUUAAGAAUCAUAUCAUAAUUUUCUGGUUCUAUCAAAUGUUCAAGAUUCGUGUGUUGCCUUUCAUAUCAUUCAAGUGCCGGAGGUUUGUAUAAACACUAGUUGUGCAAUUUGGUUCUUAUGUUCAGGUUCCUGUGAAUAAGUGCUGGCCUCACUUAUUCGGCUUUACUGGUAAAUGCAAAGGAAGUUUCAGGUACUCGAUGAUCAAGUUUGCAUGGGAUGAGAGUAGCCACUUCAUGAUGAGCAUGCACACAUUUUUGCGAUUCAUUAAGCAAAUCUCUAGGCUAAAUAAUUCUUUUGACAUUGAGAACUGUCGUGUGGUCGUUUGGAUGUCGUUUACGUUUGUUCGGUCUUGUUGGUCAAUGUUGAGUUCUUAAUACUGUUUAGUUAUGUCAUCUUGCUAUUAUAUUACUUGUGUGCCCGCGAAUAUUAGAAUUACAGAGAAGGCUGCCGAAAUUUACUAGAA